GACGAACGCUGGCGGCGUGCCUAAUACAUGCAAGUCGAACGCUUUUUCUUUCACCGGAGCUUGCUCCACCGAAAGAAAAAGAGUGGCGAACGGGUGAGUAACACGUGGGUAACCUGCCCAUCAGAAGGGGAUAACACUUGGAAACAGGUGCUAAUACCGUAUAACACUAUUUUCCGCAUGGAAGAAAGUUGAAAGGCGCUUUUGCGUCACUGAUGGAUGGACCCGCGGCGCAUUAGCUAGUUGGUGAGGUAACGGCUCACCAAGGCAACGAUGCAUAGCCGACCUGAGAGGGUGAUCGGCCACACUGGGACUGAGACACGGCCCAGACUCCUACGGGAGGCAGCAGUAGGGAAUCUUCGGCAAUGGACGAAAGUCUGAUCGAGCAACGCCCGCGUGAGUGAAGAAAG
rnacentral:rRNA from 1 species